rnacentral:rRNA from 1 species
AUACGUAGGGUGCGAGCGUUAAUCGGAAUUACUGGGCGUAAAGCGUGCGCAGGCGGUUUUGUAAGACAGUGGUGAAAUCCCCGGGCUCAACCUGGGAACUGCCAUUGUGACUGCAAGGCUGGAGUGCGGCAGAGGGGGAUGGAAUUCCGCGUGUAGCAGUGAAAUGCGUAGAUAUGCGGAGGAACACCGAUGGCGAAGGCAAUCCCCUGGGCCUGCACUGACGCUCAUGCACGAAAGCGUGGGGAGCAAACAGGAUUAGAUACCCUGGUAGUCCACGCCCUAAACGAUGUCAACUGGUUGUUGGGGAUUUAUUUUCUCAGUAACGAAGCUAACGCGUGAAGUUGACCGCCUGGGGAGUACGGCCGCAAGGUUAAAACUCAAAGGAAUUGACGGGG